rnacentral:rRNA from 1 species
GGAUCAAUUUAUUGGUCGUGCUAUUGUACGUACUGGUAUUAUUGAUUCCUACCUUCUGACGAACCAUGAUGUCAUUAAUUUGGUGUCAUGGGGAAUCAGGACUUUUACCUUGAGAAAAUUAGAGUGUUUAAAGCAGGCCGAUGCGCUUGAAUACAUUAGCAUGGAAUAAUAAAAUAGGAC